UAUACGUCACCCGCGACGUUACGUCAUAAUCCCUGCAUUUGUUUUGUUUGUUUGUUACGUCAUUACACGUCACAAUACGGUUUCUACGCUUGCGUUUCGCGAUUUUUUUUCAUGGGGCCCCAUGCGCGUUUUGCGUCGUCACAAGGCACAUUACUUGUAUAUUCUAAUUUUAUUUGCGCUAUAAGCUCGGAAGCAAGAAGAACAAAGAAAUGGUAAUGUAUAUAUCGAGAUUGGCAUUGUUACGUACAUAAGCUCUUUUCUAGAAACAUCGAUGAUGUGACGUCACGAAGUGGUGAUGACGCAGCAGAAGAACCCACUUCAACAUGGUAUGUGACGUCACAGAGGUUCAAGCGGACCAUUGGAAAGAAAGAAGAAUGAAGAAAAGUCAGCGAAUGAAGCUGCAGAAGAGAAGCGCAAGAUGAAGAACAAAGACGAAAACGCCGAUAAAGGAUACACGGUUUGAGAUUUGAGGUUUUAAAAGUAUGAGUUGUGUGUUAUGUGUGUGUCUGUCUGCCUGUUGUAUCUCUAUUCUGCUGGACCUAAUGUUGCCAGCUAUUUUUAGUCAGUCACUACGUUAGUGCAUUUUGCAUGUCACUGAAACAUAUGCAAUGAAAGUAUGGCGAACAUCUUGCUGGAUCAGAUUUUGUUGUUGUACACAAAAGAUCGAAUCUUUUAACGAUUCUGUAUUGUCCUAAAUCACUUGGUGAGAACGCUAUGUUGGUACACAAAUACUCGAGUAAUAUUAACACGCAGUAUAAUAGGCGCAUAAAUGUGUUAGAAUUCCAUUUCAUACAAUGUAAUUUAAUGUAAUAUUUAAUAAAAUGUAAUGUAAUAUAAUGUAAUGUAAACUUCCCCACGUGACUUAACUUUAUAUUAAAACGUCAUGUAGCGUGAUUGGGACGAUGGCCACGUCACGAUUACGCUGCGACGUCGAUACGGUGGGCCAGAGCGUUGUCCUGACCCUGCGUUCGGUGCGGUUACGUCUGUUUCGAUUGAGUUACUUAACGGUCGGGUUGUUGCGUGGACGUCGCCGCCAGUGAUGCUACGCUCGGUUUUAGGUCACUAUCAAUGCGGUACGUAACACCCUGAUGCAGUUUUAUAACGGUCAAUGCGGUGCGUAACAUCCGGACGUUAUUAUAUUGUGUGAAGAUACGACGAGAGUAUCGCGGUACCAACAUGGCGACUUACCUAUAGAUUAAAACUUGAUUGACCUAUAGAUUAAAACUUGAUUGAACAUUCAGCAGAUGAUUAUCCUUCAGGAUUUGAAGCAUAUUUUCUUUGAAGAUGUUUCAAUGAUUUUGUCCGCGUUAUUUUUUUUUAACCGCGCCCCCUUUUUGUAUGAUUGAGCUGUUGUGUUUGUUGCAUGUUUGGCACAUGUAUGUCGCUGCACUCGUUGUACUAUUUUUGUCUUUUUGUUGGUGUGUUCCCUGUGCACAUUUAUGUGCGUCGUUGUACUAUUUUUGUCCAUAUGGUUUGUUUUACCUUGCCUGGGUAUGGCAAGGGGUUUCUCACCAAAGUAGAAACCCACUACCAUUGGCUGGGGGCUUGUCGUGCCGUAGUGGCUUUCCACCAACGCCAGCCACAUAAACUAUGAAGGCAUUUUAAUCCUGUUUCUAUUUUUCAGAAUUUUCAGAAGCUUCAAUAAAAGCGGUCACGUUUAGUUUUAAUUAAACACAACAGUAUUGUUGGUUUAGCAACCACGCUUUUAGACUACUGUCAUU